UACGUAGGGCGCAAGCGUUAUCCGGAAUUAUUGGGCGUAAAGGGCUCGUAGGCGGCUUGUCGCGUCUGCCGUGAAAGUCCGGGGCUUAACCCCGGAUCUGCGGUGGGUACGGGCAGACUAGAGUGCAGGAGGGGAGAGUGGAAUUCCUGGUGUAGCGGUGAAAUGCGCAGAUAUCAGGAGGAAUACCGAUGGCGAAGGCGG
rnacentral:rRNA from 1 species